rnacentral:rRNA from 1 species
GCCGCGGUAAAUACGGAAGUCGCGAGCGUUAUCCGGAAUUAUUGGGCGUAAAGCGUUCGAAGGCGGUCAGGGAGGUCUGAUAUUAAAUACUUGCGGCUCAAACCGAGGUUUCGUAUCGGAAACCAUCUGACUAGAGGGAGACAGAGGCAACUAGAAUUCCCAUUGUAGGGGUAAAAUCCGUAGAUAAUGGGAGGAAUACCGAAAGCGAAGGCAGGUUGCUGGGUCUUUCCUGACGCUGUGCGAACGAAAGCGUGGGGAGCGAAAGGGAUUAGAUACCCCUGUAGUCCACGCCGUAAACGAUGAACACUCGGUGUACGCUGGUUCAAUCCCAGUGUGUGCCUAAGCUAACGCGUUAAGUGUUCCGCCUGUGGAGUACGGCCGCAAGGCUAAAACAUAAAGGAAUAGACGGGGAUCCACACAAGCGGUGGAGCAUCUGGUUUAAUUCGAUAAUGCGCGAGGAACCUUACCAGGGUUUGACAUCCUAGGAAUCCCGUGGAAACAUGGGAGUGCCUUCGGGAACCUAGAGACAGGUGUUGCAUGGUUGUCGUCAGCUCGUGCCUUGAGGUGUGCGGUUAAGUCCGUGAACGAGCGCAACCCUCGCCGUGUGUUGUAUUUUUCACACGGGACUGCCGGUUUUACGCCGGAGGAAGGUGAGGAUGACGUCAAAUCAGCAUGACCCUUAUAUCCUGGGCGACACAGAUGCUACAAUGACCGGUACAAAGGGUAGCCAAGUAGUAAUACGGAGCCAAUCCCAAAAAGCUGGUGUGAGAGCACGACCAGGCAGAGUGGGACUGAGACACGGCCCACACUCCUACGGGAGGCAGCAGUGAGGAAUUUUCCGCAAUGGGCGAAAGCCUGACGGAGCAGUCCCGCGUGGAGGAUGACACCUUUCGGGGCGUAAACUUCUUUUCUGAGGGAAGAAAUUUUGACGGUACCUCAGGAAUAAGCGACGGCAAAUUCCGUGCCAGCAGCCGCGGUAAUACGGAAGUCGCGAGCGUUAUCCGGAAUUAUUGGGCGUAAAGCGUUCGAAGGCGGUCAGGGAGGUCUGAUAUUAAAUACCUGCGGCUCAACCGAGGUUUCGUAUCGGAAACCAUCUGACUAGAGGGAGACAGAGGCAACUAGAAUUCCCAUUGUAGGGGUAAAAUCCGUAGAUAAUGGGAGGAAUACCGAAAGCGAAGGCAGGUUGCUGGGUCUUUCCUGACGCUGUGCGAACGAAAGCGUGGGGAGCGAAAGGGAUUAGAUACCCCUGUAGUCCACGCCGUAAACGAUGAACACUCGGUGUACGCUGGUUCAAUCCCAGUGUGUGCCUAAGCUAACGCGUUAAGUGUUCCGCCUGUGGAGUACGGCCGCAAGGCUAAACAUAAAGGAUAGACGGGAUCCACACAGCGGUGGAGCAUCUGGUUUAUUCGAUAUGCGCGAGACUUACCAGGUUUGACAUCCUAGAUCCGUGAAACAUGGGAGUGCUUCGGACUAGAGAAAGUGUGCAUGAUGUCGUCAGCUCGUGCUGAGGUGUGGCGUAGUCUGGACGACCCACCUCGCCGGUGUGUUGAAUUUCAACGACUGCGAUUUACUCGGAGAAGGUGAGAGAGAACUCCUAAUACCAUGACCUUAUUCUGGCACAGUCUCAUGACCGUUUCAAGUAGUCCAGAUGGA